ensembl:lncRNA
UUCAAAAUAGUCAACAGGGUCGUAAGAAGCGUGUGGAAAAACCAAGGCGCAAAAUAACUGCCCAUGAACUGAGAAAAGUCAAGCGUGCAGCUGCCAAGAUGCCACUUGCCACCAGUUUGGCCAUAUUUCAGAGCUGCAACAUCACUGGAAUGCCCAAAAGCACAAGGUGUGCAAUACUCAGAGACAUGGCCAAGGUAAGAAAGGCUGAAAGACGACCACCACUGAACAAGACACACAUGCUGAAACACGACCACCACUGAACAAGACACACAUGCUGAAACGUCAAGACUGGGCCAAGAAAUAUCUCAAGACUGAUUUUUCUAAGGUUUUAUGGACUGAUGAAAUGAGAGUGAGUCUUGAUGGGC